GAUGUAGCUCAGUGCUAGAGUGUUUCCCUUGCAUGUAUGAGGUCCUGUGUUCAAUCCCCAGAACA
rnacentral:tRNA from 1 species